ACUACGGGGUGCAGCAGUGAGGAAUAUUGGUCAAUGGGCGGAAGCCUGAACCAGCCAAGUAGCGUGCAGGAUGACGGCCCUACGGGUUGUAAACUGCUUUUAUACGGGAAUAACGCGCCUUACGUGUAGGGCUUUGCAUGUACCGUAUGAAUAAGGACCGGCUAAUUCCGUGCCAGCAGCCGCGGUAAUACGGAAGGUCCGGGCGUUAUCCGGAUUUAUUGGGUUUAAAGGGAGCGUAGGCCGCAUGUCAAGCGUGCUGUGAAAUGUCCGGGCUCAACCCGGGCCUUGCAGCGCGAACUGGCGUGCUUGAGUCCGCGGAAAGCAGGCGGAAGUCGUCGUGGAGCGGUGAAAUGCUUAGAUAUGACGAAGAACCCCGAUUGCGAAGGCAGCUUGCUGCAGCGGAACUGACGCUGAUGCUCGAAAGCGCGGGUAUCGAACAGGAUUAGAUACCCCUGUAGUC
rnacentral:rRNA from 1 species